GAUGAACGCUGGCGGCGUGCCUAAUACAUGCAAGUCGAGCGAACGGACGAGAAGCUUGCUUCUCUGAUGUUAGCGGCGGACGGGUGAGUAACACGUGGAUAACCUACCUAUAAGACUGGGAUAACUUCGGGAAACCGGAGCUAAUACCGGAUGAUAUUUUGAACCGCAUGGUUCAAAAGUGAAAGACGGUCUUGCUGUCACUUAUAGAUGGAUCCGCGCUGCAUUAGCUAGUUGGUAAGGUAACGGCUUACCAAGGCAACGAUGCAUAGCCGACCUGAGAGGGGGAUCGGCCACACUAGAAGUGGGACACGGUCCAGACUCCUACGGGAGGCAGCAGUAGGGAAUCUGCCGCAGUGGGCGAAAGCCUGACGGAGCAAGGCCGCGUGAGUGAUGAAGGUGUUCGGAUCGGAAAACUCUGUUAUUAGGGAAGAACAUAUGUGUAAGGAACUGUGCACAUCUUGACGGUACCUAAUCAGAAAGCCACGGCUAACUACGUG
rnacentral:rRNA from 1 species